GCCGCCGUAGGCCGUGCAACUAUAACUCCCGGCAGGCGCGGAAGGUGCAGGCGCAGUGCGGUGGGGCGGCAGUGCCGCGUGCGGGUGGCAUGUCUGCCCUCCGCUGGGGCCGCGGCGUGGCGGGGCUCCGGAGGGCCCUGUGGCCCGCGGGCCGCCAUGGCCUCCUGACGGAGGAAGGAACCCUUGGUGUCAUUGGGGGCCGGAGAAGAAGUUUGUCUGCCAGCCCUUGUGAGCAGGACCGCAGGAAGGACUGGGGCCAUGUUGAGCUGCUGGAAGUGCUUGAGGCGAGGGUGCGCCAGCUGCAGGCCGAGAGCGAGGCGGAGGUGACAGUGAAGAAGGUGGCCAUGGCUCAGGCCUCGGAGGCUGGCGGCAUCCAGCCACCCAGGAAGGCCCAAAUGGGGGCUGGUGACCGCUGGGCGCAGAAACUAGAUGAGGAGCAGCGGCUGAUGGAGAGGCGCAAGGAGCAGCUGCGGGAGAGGGUGCAGAAAGGCGGCAAGCGGCUGUGGCGGGUGGAGCUGCGCAAGGAGCCCCGGCUGCUGAGCAGGAAGCUGGCGAAGCAGCUGCAGCGCUGGCAGAAGGGAACCCCCCAGAGCCCCUGGGAGGAGCAGCUGGAGCAGUUGCUGCAGGAGGCCCCGCAGAGGCUGAGCUGCGAAGAAGCCAGUAGGGAUCCUGAGGCGAAGCUGGAGGGCCAGCAGCAGAAGCUCCUGUCCUUCUUAGAGUGCUGCCUGCACACGGGCCACCUGCCUCUUGCCCACCACGUGCUGGUCACCUACCACAGCAGGUCCCAGCAGCAGAAGCUGCUAACUCUCGCCAUGUACAAUGCGGUCAUGCUGGGUUGGGCGCGUGAGGGCUCCUUCAAAGAGCUGGUGUAUGUGUUCUUCAUGGUGAAAGACGCCGGGCUCACCCCUGAUCUGCUGUCCUACGCAGCUGCUCUGCAGUGCAUGGGGCGUCUGGACCAGGAUACAGACACCAUCCGAAGGUGUCUGAAGCAGAUGGCCCAAGACGGGCUACAGCUAGAGGGGCUCUUCACGUCUGUGCUGCUGAGCGAGGAGGAGCGGGCCGAGCUGCUGAAGGCUGUGCGCAAGGCCAAGCCCACCUUCAGCGUCCCGUGCCCACGCCCGCCUCCACCCCAGGUCAAUACCUCGCCGCUGCUCCGGGAGAUCUAUGCCAAGCCCAAUUGCACUGUGUCCUACCCGAGGCUGCACCUGCCCCUCAAGAAGUUGCAGGAGCUCUUCCAGCAGCAGCUCAGCAUGGAGCUGGCCACGACUGUCACUGUGGAGUCGGUGGAAAAGGCACCGCCACUGACCAAGGAGGUUCUGCACGCGCGGCAGACACUGACCAUCCUCCGUGCCCAGUGGGAGAAGGCGCUGUGCCGAGAGCUGCAGGAGACCAAGGAGAGUGAGGCCUAUGCUGCCCAUGAAGGCCGCUCAUCGCUCUUCCCGUACCUCUGCCUGCUCAGCGAGAAGGAGCUUGUGGAGAUGCUGUUGCAGACCCUGCAGGUUCUGCCUGCACAUGGAGAGUCCCUUUUCUACCUGGCGCACAGGCUGGGUCAGCGCGUCUUCAACCGGCACAUGGUACAGAGAAAGCAGCUCAGCAACCAGGUGCAGGUGCUGGAGAAGCAGUACUCCAAGUACCUGCACCUGCUGGCCUCUGACACCCAGGUGAGGUCUGGGAGCUCAGGUAGGAAACGAAAACCUCACGCAGAGGGCCCAUCCUCGCUCUGGGGCAGCUGGAUCUGCCUCUCAACUCUGCUUCGGUUUCCUCAUAUGACACUGGGAGGGAACUGGGUGUCCAGUUCUGUGCCCGGACCCUCAGCCCCUGACCCACCCACCUACCCACAGGUGGCGGAGCCCUGCCUGCCACGGCAGUACUGGGAGGCACUGGGGCUGCCUGAGUACCCCCAAGAACAGCCCUGGUCCCUGUCUGUGCUGGUGCAACUAGGCAAGCGGCUGGCAGAGAUGCUGGUGCAGGCUGUGCGGAUGCCCAGCAACCUGGCUACGCCCCGGGACUCCAACACACUCAUCCCCGUGCUCUAUCACGUCUACUCCUUCCGUAGCUUCCGCCAGAUCGGGAUCCUGAAGCCACACCCAGCCUUCAGGCAGCUGCUGGAGACGGCGGCAGAAGGCACACUGACCUUCGAGUCAACCGAGGUGCCCAUGCUGUGCCCACCACUGCCUUGGACAUCCCCCCAUUCCGGUGCCUUCCUACUGAGCCCCACCAAGAUGAUGCGUUCAGUGGAGGGCACCCAGCAGCACCAGGUCCUGCUGGAGCGCUGCCGGCCCGCUGAGCUGCAUGGUGCCCUGGACGCCCUCACCCAGCUGGGCAAUUGUGCCUGGCAGGUCAAUGGACCUGUGCUGGACCUGGUGCUGGAGCUCUUCAACAACAAGGGCUGUCCCCACCUGGGCGUGCCUGCCCCACCCCUUGAGGCCCCCCGGCCUCCUGAGGGCCGCCAGGCCCCCGACGCCUGCCUGCAACCUAACGUGCCGCCCACCCAGAAGGCCGAGCUGCGGCGGGAGCUGGCGCGCCGCCUGAAGAUGGCACGGGAGAUGCACAGCCUGCGAACUGAGGCGCUUUACCGCCUCUCGAUGGCCCAGCACUUGCGGGGUCGCAUCUUCUGGCUGCCGCACAACAUGGACUUCCGCGGCCGGACCUACCCGUUCCCACCCCACUUCAACCACCUGGGCAGCGACCUGGCCCGCGCCCUGCUGGAGUUUGCCCAGGGCCGCCCGCUCGGCCCUCAGGGCCUCAACUGGCUCAAGAUCCACCUGGUCAACCUCACAGGGCUGAAGAAGCACGAGUCGCUGCAGGCACGCCGGGACUUGGCGGAUGAGCUGAUGGAGGACAUCCUGGACUCGGCCGACCGGCCCAUGACGGGCCGGAAGUGGUGGAUGGAGGCGGACGAGCCCUGGCAAACCCUGGCCUGCUGCAUGGAGAUCGCUCGGGCGGUGCGCGCCCCUGACCCCACCGCCUAUGUCUCCCACUUUCCAGUUCACCAGGAUGGCUCCUGUAACGGCUUGCAGCACUACGCCGCCCUGGGCCGGGAUAGCGCAGGGGCCGCCUCUGUCAACCUGAUGCCCUCGGACCUGCCGCAGGACGUUUACAGCGGGGUGGCUGCACAGGUGGAGGUGUUCCGCAGGCAGGAUGCCGAGCAGGGCAUGCGGGUGGCGCAAGUGCUGGAGGGCUUCAUCAGCCGCAAGGUGGUCAAGCAGACGGUGAUGACCGUGGUGUACGGGGUCACCCGCUACGGGGGCCGCCUGCAGAUCGAGAGGCGCCUCCGGGAGCUCCAGGACUUUCCCCAGGAGUUCGUGUGGGAGGCCUCGCACUACCUUGUACGCCAGGUGUUCAACAGCCUCCAGGAGAUGUUCUCUGGUACUCGGUCCAUCCAGCGCUGGCUGACUGACAGUGCCCGGCUCAUCGCCCACAUGGGCUCAGCUGUGGAGUGGGUCACACCGCUGGGCAUCCCCAUCAUCCAGCCCUACCACCGCGACUCCAAGGUCACAGUACGUGCGGCCUUGCCCCCACCCCUACCCCCACCCCCACGGAGGCAGGGCAGGGCUCACCACCCCUGCACCUCCUGCCCUGACCCUGCAGAUCAAAGGUGGGCUUCAGAACCUCAGUUUCAACAGCAGUGUGGACACCAGCCAGUGAGUGCAAGGGCUGGGCAGGGUGGGGCGCCUGGGCCAGAAGGCCGCCUGGGGAGGUUCUGGAGUCCCCACCUCCACUCCUCCCCCCAGGAAGCCCAACACGCUGAAGCAGAAGAACGGCUUCCCGCCCAACUUCAUCCACUCGCUGGACUCCUCACACAUGAUGCUCACGGCCCUGCACUGCUACAGGUGUGGAUGUCCCCUGUGUGGGCCAGGGGCCCGCACAGGGGGAGACAGCUCGUGAGCUCAGGUCCUGCUGGUGGGUCCUGCCAGCCAGGACCAGGACAAGGGUGGGGCCAGGGCUGAGCCCUCCGGCAGGCCUGCAGGACCUGGUGCCCAGGAGACAGGCCACCAGGUAGCAGGGGCUGGGAAAUGGCUCUGAGAGUGAAGCUGGCCCUUAGAGGGUCCCAGACUCGGCAUGCUGUGUGGCCUGACACAGCGGGACCUACGUGGACCUCCUGGGUCAGGCACAGCCGUCCUGGUUUCUCCUGAGUCCCUUGGAGGCGGCUGAGCAUGGGUGGUGGGGGCAUGUGUUGAUGGUUGUUAGAAACAACUGCUGACGUGGGGAUGAGGCUACGCUGAGCCCCAGUUCCCUUCGGAGGCCCUUGGGUGUGGAUCAAGGGGAGAAUGGACCUUGAGGUGUGGCUUCUCCUCAUGGAGCCCCUCCCUCCUGCUGCAGAAAGGGCCUGACCUUUGUCUCUGUCCACGACUGCUUCUGGACCCACGCAGCUGAUGUUGCAGUCAUGAACCAGGUGUGCCGAGAGCAGUUUGUCCAGCUGCACAGCCAGCCCAUCCUCCAUGACCUGUCCAGGUUCCUAAGGAAUCGGUUCUGCUCUGACCCCAGGGCCUCUAAGAAUAUCUGGGCCUCCAGGCUGAUGGACACACUGCUGUCAGUGCCCAAGCCAGGGACCUUCGACCUGGAGCAGGUGAAGCACUCCACAUACUUCUUCAGCUGACUGACCACCUCCGGGGCAGGCCACCCUGUACCAUAGUGUAAAUAAAAUCUUGUCUCCA